GUCAAUUAAUUUUUGAGUUCUCACUUAUUUCGCGUCUUCUGAAAUAGAUCCGGAAAUAUCAUCCCUCAACUGAAAGCACGUUUUACACAGAUCCGUCUUUGGUUUCAUAAAUUGAAUAUGAGGGACACAUGCAUUCCAAACUUCUUUAAAUACGGUUAGUUGAACAUAUUGUUGUUCUGAGUUAACGAAUGCACUAACAUAUUUGGAGUGUACAUAUUUCUUGCUCUCGCUACAAGGUAGAAAUUUACCACAACAUUAAAAAGGAAUGGAAUUAAUGACAAAUUGAACCAAAAGAAUUUUUCGAUACGACUGGUUGUCGCGCUUUUUGCCAUAAUACAUUUAAUAGUUCAACAGUGAUUUGUGACAUAUAGAUCAAAAUCCCAAAUACUAUCUCUUUAAAUUAUAGUAGUUCAAAUUUCAAAAUAAACGGGUUUUUUAGAUGAAAUUUUGGUUUAUUAUUUAUUAAUCCGACAUCACAGCUUACAUCUUUCAAAAUUGUUACCUUAAUCACGCAGACGGACGGACGGACGCAAAAUUGUAAGACCCACCGAUGCAUAGAUCGGGAAUUUUAUUGCCCGAAUACUAAUUUUAAAGUUGUCGGGAUAUGAAAAAGGGGGUUUAAAAGGUUUUAUUUUGAAAGUUAUUAGUUUUCGAAAUACAUGUACACAUGUAUUAUGCAAAAGUUUCCCUCUUUCUUUCAAUUUCUAAAUAGAAAUGUCAUUGAACCUAAAUUACACGCAACACGUACAUUUCUAAAUUUCUGAAUAGAUAUGAACAGAUAAAUUGCACGCACAUAGUACAAAAUCCACCUAGAGCACGGGUUGGUCUUUG
rnacentral:lncRNA from 1 species